rnacentral:misc_RNA from 1 species
AGCUCGCAUCGCGCCGCCUUCGGCGUCGAGGCGCCGAAGGACCG